CCUACACGAUGUCUUCCGAUGACCUCUCUCUAGGAGCUCAGCGGCCUCAAGGAUGGCACUUUGCUGGGGGCAAAAGAGAACCUUAGCUUAACGUUACCCCAACCUCGAGGAUCCUGUAAGUCAACUUCCUCUAUCUCAGCUGCCCCAAGAUAUGUGCUGGCAAUCAUCUUCCAAGCUUAUGCCCCCCCCCCCGCCCUGAUAUACUUCUAAAGGGUCUCAGAACUGAGGUUUUAUUAAAUGGUAGUAAAUGGUGUUUAUUUAGCAACCGCUAGCGCCUCAAGGUCCUGGAAACCUUGCUUCUAAAAUUCCUUAGAGACUUACU